rnacentral:rRNA from 1 species
GACGAACGCUGGCGGCGUGCCUAAUACACGCAAGUCGAGCGGAAAUUUUAUUGGUGCUUGCACCUUUAAAAUUUUAGCGGCGGACGGGUGAGUAACACGUGGGUAACCUACCUUAUAGAUAGGGAUAACUCCGGGAAACCGGGGCUAAUACCGAAUAAUACUUUUUAACACAUGUUUUGAAGUUGAAAGACGGUUUCGGCUGUCACUAUAAGAUGGACCCGCGGCGCAUUAGCUAGUUGGUGAGGUAACGGCUCACCAAGGCAACGAUGCGUAGCCGACCUGAGAGGGUGAUCGGCCACACUGGGACUGAGACACGGCCCAGACUCCUACGGGAGGCAGCAGUAGGGAAUCUUCCACAAUGGACGAAAGUCUGAUGGAGCAACGCCGCGUGAGUGAAGAAGGAUUUCGGUUCGUAAAACUCUGUUGCAAGGGAAGAACAAGUAGCGUAGUAACUGGCGCUACC